AGAUGCACUUGUGUCUCAGGAUCACAGCCCUGAGCUCUUGUAGGUACGAGUCUGUCUCCCUCUCCCCCUUUCUCUCGCACUCACGGUCCGACCAGGAGCUUUGCUCUCAGCCACUGCUCUGAAGACAACUGUCCUUUUGGAAGAGCCACGAUCGCAAUGACUCUGGAUUUCAGCAGCUGAAAUCACAACAGGUACAAGAAGGACCAAGGAGUACUUGGACUUUUAUAGAUGCCAUUGAACAACACCAAACCCACAGCCUGGGGAGGAAGACAAAGGAGAACUGCAAAUGUCCAGCACCUCCAGGGUCUGUAUCUUGUUCAACUCCAGCCUGCUGACACACUGAUGAACAGCAUCUGCCAAUUCAAAGCAGCUCCGACCAGACUGACUUGAUGCAAUCUGGCAACCUUAAUCACCUUAAGCUGUCCUCUGGAAUACCUGUUCUGCAUCUCAAAGUGCCUUUUCCACACAAGUAAAAAUGGUUGGUGUAACUUUGUAGAAAUUCACUGGUUUGUAACACUGGGCAUAAUGUUCUACAUCUGGAUAGUCUGGACAAAUACACAAAACCCCCUUUUAUUCUCCCAGGUUAACGUUUCCAGGAAGAAAGGGGGGCAUGAUUUAGAGGAAGAGUUGAGGCCUGAACAUAUGGUUGCUGUAACCUGUGCAACAUAAGCUAAGAGAAGGAAAAGGUAGCUCAUCCAAGUCCUAUUCAGGAAUACAUUUAAGACACACCCAUAGACGCUGGAUAUACAACCAAAGUAUCACACACAUAACAGGCUUAAAGAAAAAAGCAGAAAUAGAAGGCCUUUUGCUAAUUUUCUAGCUAGCAGCAAGUGUGACGUCUCCCUUUGGAAAGGGAGUUGGAGGCCAGUGGCAACAGGAGAACAAAUUAGCUGUAUUGGCUUGGAAAGUUUAUGAUUAGCUUGGGAGGUCUGAAGCCUGCUGAUCACUACAAAAAUAACAUUUCACUUUGAUGCAUGUCUAUCGACUCUCACUAUAUUAAAAUGUUUUCAUUUCUAAAUGUGGGUUUCAGCUGCUGUGUCUGGCCACCAUGUGACAUGAAAGUGAGGAUCUUUAUGUAACACAUUUUUUUUCUGAUCAGUAUUUCAUAUAAGAGAAGUUAGCAAAUGCUGAAUAUUCUGUGUUCUUGUGUGCCUGCAGUGAUUUAAGAGUUCAAACUAAGACAAAAUAGUCAUUCCUGAAAACACGUACUGGAAUAAAAUGCACAGGUUCACCAUUAGAACUAAAAUAUCUUAUGGCAAAUUGAGUGGACAAUGCUGAUAUUUUCAAAAUAAAGCCAGAGAACUGCAUAAAUCAAGAUCAAAACUCCACAGCACAAGCAUAUGAACUACCAGGACAUUGACCAUAUAUCCUCUAGCAAACAUUAGAAAGAAUUCAUUUGUGUGUUGGCAGAAGUACAGCACCUUAAGCGCUUGUGCAAUAAAAACGUCGGACAUGACAAUCAGACGGUAUGAAACUAUUCCUCACAGGGGCUUUAAUACUUGUUAUGAACUGCUGUAUUAGAGAAGUUCAGUCUUUCUUUGCAGCUACCUUUGUAUUUUUUUCAGCCAGAGGCAAAUAACUCUUUACAAAUGUGCCUCUUCCACCUCUGACUUGAGGAUCUGGGAUUGGUUUCCCUAAAUGAGGCUUGUCUUAAAUUAGCU